rnacentral:rRNA from 1 species
AAUAGAUACCCAGGUAGUCCACGCCGUAAACGAUGAAUACUAGGUGUGGGGGUUUCAACACCUCCGUGCCGCCGCUAACGCAUUAAGUAUUCCGCCUGGGGAGUACGGUCGCAAGAUUAAAACUCAAAGGAAUUGACGGGGACCCGCACAAGUAGCGGAGCAUGUGGUUUAAUUCGAAGCAACGCGAAGAACCUUACCUACACUUGACAUCCCUUGCAUUACUCUUAAUCGAGGAAACUCCCUUCGGGGACAAGGUGACAGGUGGUGCAUGGUUGUCGUCAGCUCGUGUCGUGAGAUGUUGGGUUAAGUCCCGCAACGAGCGCAACCCUUGUCGUUAGUUACUACCAUUAAGUUGAGGACUCUAGCGAGACUGCCUGGGUUAACCGGGAGGAAGGUGGGGAUGACGUCAAAUCAUCAUGCCCCUUAUGUGUAGGGCUACACACGUGCUACAAUGGCUGGUACAGAGAGAUGCAAUACCGCGAGGUGGAGCCAAACUUAAAACCAGUCUCAGUUCGGAUUGUAGGCUGAAACUCGCCUACAUGAAG